rnacentral:rRNA from 1 species
UACGGGGGGGGGCAAGCGUUGUUCGGAAUUACUGGGCGUAAAGGGCUCGUAGGUGGCCAACUAAGUCAGACGUGAAAUCCCUCGGCUUAACCGGGGAACUGCGUCUGAUACUGGAUGGCUUGAGUUCGGGAGAGGGAUGCGGAAUUCCAGGUGUAGCGGUGAAAUGCGUAGAUAUCUGGAGGAACACCGGUGGCGAAGGCGGCAUCCUGGACCGACACUGACACUGAGCGCGAAAGCAUGGGGAUCAAACGGG